rnacentral:rRNA from 1 species
AUAAGCGGAAGAAAUUCCGUCUAAUACCGCGUAAUAACUCCGAGAGGCAUCUCCUGGGGUUUAAAGGGUAACACCGGCUACGGAUGGCCAUGCGGCGCAUUAGCUAGUUGGCGGGGUAACGGCCCACCAAGGCGACGAUGCGUAGGGGUUCUGAGAGGAAGGUCCCCCACACUGGUACUGAGACACGGACCAGACUCCUACGGGAGGCAGCAGUGAGGAAUAUUGGUCAAUGGGCGCGAGCCUGAACCAGCCAAGUCGCGUGAGGGAAGACGGUCCUAUGGAUUGUAAACCUCUUUUGUCGGGGAGCAAAAGACGCCACGCGUGGCGUUCCGAGAGUACCCGAAGAAAAAGCAUCGGCUAACUCCGUGCCAGCAGCCGCGGUAAUACGGAGGAUGCGAGCGUUAUCCGGAUUUAUUGGGUUUAAAGGGUGCGCAGGCGGAAGAUCAAGUCAGCGGUAAAAUUGAGAGGCUCAACCUCUUCGAGCCGUUGAAACUGGUUUUCUUGAGUGAGCGAGAAGUAUGCGGAAUGCGUGGUGUAGCGGUGAAAUGCAUAGAUAUCACGCAGAACUCCGAUUACGAAGGCAGCAUACCGGCGCUCAACUGACGCUCAUGCACGAAAGUGUGGGUAUCGAACAGGAUUAGAUACCCUGGUAGUCCACACAGUAAACGAUGAAUACUAAUUGUUCGGGGAGAAUGAUCCCUGAGUG